rnacentral:rRNA from 1 species
UACAGAGGGUGCAAGCGUUAAUCGGAAUUACUGGGCGUAAAGCGCACGUAGGUGGCUUGAUAAGUUGGGUGUGAAAUCCCCGAGCUUAACUUGGGAAUUGCAUUCAAGACUGUCUUGCUAGAGUGUGGAAGAGGGAAGCGGUAUUCCAGGUGUAGCGGUGAAAUGCGUAGAUAUCUGGAGGAACAUCAGUGGCGAAGGCGGCUUCCUGGUCCACCACUGACACUGAGGUGCGAAAGCGUGGGGAGCAAACAGG